AUUGAACGCUGGCUGCAUGCCUUACACAUGCAAGUCGAACGGCAGCACGGGUGCUUGCACCUGGUGGCGAGUGGCGAACGGGUGAGUAAUACAUCGGAACGUACCUUAUCGUGGGGGAUAACGCAGCGAAAGUUGCGCUAAUACCGCAUACGCCCUGAGGGGGAAAGCGGGGGACCGUAAGGCCUCGCGCGAUUAGAGCGGCCGAUGUCUGAUUAGCUUGUUGGUGAGGUAAAAGCUGACCAAGGCGAUGAUCAGUAGCUGGUCUGAGAGGACGAUCAGCCACACUGGGACUGAGACACGGCCCAGACUCCGACGGGAGGCAGCAGUGGGGAAUUUUGGACAAUGGGGGCAACCCUGAUCCAGCAAUGCCGCGUGAGUGAAGAAGGCCUUCGGGUUGUAAAGCUCUUUUGUCAGGGAAGAAACAGCAGCUCUAACACAGUCUGCGAAUGACGGUACCUGAAGAAUAAGCACCGGCUAACUACGUGCCAGCCGCCGCCGUAA
rnacentral:rRNA from 1 species